rnacentral:rRNA from 1 species
GAAUAUUAGUCAAUGAUCGAAAGAUUGAUCUAGUUACUUAGAAAGAUGAAGAUUAUAAAAAAAAAGUAAAAAGAAAAUAAUAAUGAAGAAUAUAAAAUCAAUAUAUAUAUAGAAGAAAAAAGAUGAGAAUAUAUAUAGAAGUCUUAACCAAAAUUAGUGCCAGCAGUUGCGGCUAAACUAAGGAGGCGAACGUUAAUCAUUAAUGGCUUAAAGGAUCCGUAGAAUGAUAUAUUAAAAAAUAUAUUAGAGUUAAAUAGAAUAAUUAUGAAAAAUUAUAUUGAGAGAUGAAAUGUGUGGAAAAUAAUUAGACAAAUAAACGUGAAGAUAAAAUUAAAUAUUUAACUGACAUUGAGGGAUGAAGGCAUGAGUAGCAAAACGGAUUAGAUACCCGAGUAGUUCAUGCAGUAAACGAUGAAUACUUAUUGAGAAAUAAAAGCGAAAGCAAAAGUAUUCCGCCAGGAGAGUAUAGCUUCAAAGUUGAAAUCCAAGACAAUAGACGGUUACAGUUGUAGGCAGUGGAUUGUGUUAUUUAAU